rnacentral:rRNA from 1 species
ACGGAGGGUGCAAGCGUUGUUCGGAAUCACUGGGCGUAAAGCGCGUGUAGGCGGCCUCCUCAGUCUGGUGUGAAAGCCCGGGGCUCACCCCCGGAAGUGCAUUGGAUACUGGGAGGCUGGAGUACCGGAGAGGAGGGUGGAAUUCCUGGUGUAGCGGUGAAAUGCGUAGAUAUCAGGAGGAACACCUGUGGCGAAGGCGGCCCUCUGGACGGAUACUGACGCUGAGACGCGAAAGCGUGGGGAGCAAACAGGAUUAGAUACCCUGGUAGUCCACGCUGUAAACGAUGGGCACUAGGUGUUCGGGGUAUUGACCCCCUGAGUGCCGCAGCUAACGCAUUAAGUGCCCCGCCUGGGGACUACGGCCGCAAGGCUA